rnacentral:rRNA from 1 species
CCUGGCUCAGGACGAACGCUGGCGGCGCGCCUAACACAUGCAAGUCGAACGAGCGAGAGAGAGCUUGCUUUCUCAAGCGAGUGGCGAACGGGUGAGUAACGCGUGAGGAACCUGCCUCAAAGAGGGGGACAACAGUUGGAAACGACUGCUAAUACCGCAUAAGCCCACAGGUCGGCAUCGACCAGAGGGAAAAGGAGCAAUCCGCUUUGAGAUGGCCUCGCGUCCGAUUAGCUAGUUGGUGAGGUAACGGCCCACCAAGGCAACGAUCGGUAGCCGGACUGAGAGGUUGAACGGCCACAUUGGGACUGAGACACGGCCCAGACUCCUACGGGAGGCAGCAGUGGGGAAUAUUGCACAAUGGGGGAAACCCUGAUGCAGCGACGCCGCGUGGAGGAAGAAGGUCUUCGGAUUGUAAACUCCUGUUGUUGAGGAAGAUAAUGACGGUACUCAACAAGGAAGAACGGCUAACUACGUGCCAGCAGCCGCGGUAAAACGUAGGUCACAAGCGUUGUCCGGAAUUACUGGGUGUAAAGGGAGCGCAGGCGGGAAGACAAGUUGGAAGUGAAAUCUAUGGGCUCAACCUAUAAACUGCUUUCAAAACUGUUUUUCUUGAGUAGUGCAGAGGUAGGCGGAAUUCCCGGUGUAGCGGUGGAAUGCGUAGAUAUCGGGAGGAACACCAGUGGCGAAGGCGGCCUACUGGGCACCAACUGACGCUGAGGCUCGAAAGUGUGGGUAGCAAACAGGAUUAGAUACCCUGGUAGUCCACACCGUAAACGAUGAUUACUAGGUGUUGGAGGAUUGACCCCUUCAGUGCCGCAGUUAACACAAUAAGUAAUCCACCUGGGGAGUACGACCGCAAGGUUGAAACUCAAAGGAAUUGACGGGGGCCCGCACAAGCAGUGGAGUAUGUGGUUUAAUUCGACGCAACGCGAAGAACCUUACCAAGUCUUGACAUCCCUUGACGAACAUAGAAAUAUGUUUUCUCUUCGGAGCAAGGAGACAGGUGGUGCAUGGUUGUCGUCAGCUCGUGUCGUGAGAUGUUGGGUUAAGUCCCGCAACGAGCGCAACCCUUACUGUCAGUUACUACGCAAGAGGACUCUGGCAGGACUGCCGUUGACAAAACGGAGGAAGGUGGGGAUGACGUCAAAUCAUCAUGCCCUUUAUGACUUGGGCUACACACGUACUACAAUGGCGUUAAACAAAGAGAAGCAAGACCGCGAGGUGGAGCAAAACUCAGAAACAACGUCCCAGUUCGGACUGCAGGCUGCAACUCGCCUGCACGAAGUCGGAAUUGCUAGUAAUCGUGGAUCAGCAUGCCACGGUGAAUACGUUCCCGGGCCUUGUACACACCGCC